GAGAAGUUUUAUUCUUGCUUGUUUCCUGCUUCCCGUAGGUAUUCUAUGAGAAACAUUGUGUGAGUACCAGAAUUGAAAGUUGAUCUUGGUAUUAUAGGUCUCAGUGUAGAGAAUUGGGUUAUUAAUUAGUGUUUAAAUUAGCUAUACGGGUAUAGCCCGGGUUAAAAUUGUGCCAGCAGCCGCGGUUAGACUGGUAGUGUGUGUGGGAAAAUUUAAGUGAAGUAGUUAGGAUGUGGUUAUGGGGGGUUUUAAUUUGAAAAUUAUAGGUGGAAUUUUGUUUUUUAGCAUUGAAUCUUAUUCUAACCAGUUCUGAAGCUACGAAGACUAAGGUAUAAAACAGGAUUAGAUACCCUGCUAUACUUAGUUGAAAAUUUUUAAUGCUUGAUUAGUAAACAGUUAUUUUCUCGAAAUUUAAAGAAUUUGGCGGCAUUCCAGCCUAGUUAGAGGAACCUGUCCUGUGAACGAUAAACCACGAAUUAUCUUACUUUCUUUUGCUUGUUUCAGUUGGUAUACCGUCAUUAUUAGAUAAUCUUAAAAUGGAUUUGUCUAGAUAGGGUAAUUUCCUAGUAUAUUAGAUCAGGGUGCCGCCAAUGGGAGAGAAGAGAUGGGUUACAUUGAGAUUUUAAUUAAACGGAUAGUAAAACGAAUGUUUUAAUUGAAGGCGGAUUUAAUAGUAAUAAAAUUAUAAUAAGUUUUUGUGAUAAUAGUUCUGGAAUGUGUACAAAUCGCCCGUCGCUCUCACUAGCAAUGUGAGAUAAGUCGUAACAAGGUAGGCGUGCCGGAAGGUGCGCCUAGAAAUAA
rnacentral:ncRNA from 1 species